UGGGUGUAACGGAUAGCAGCUUGAUUAAUUGUCAAGAGGAAAGUCCGAGCUGCCGUAAGACAAUGUUCCAUUUAACGAAUGGCCGUAGCAAUACGAGGGAAAGUGCAACAGAGAUGAGACUUCCACAUCUGAUGUGGUAAAGGUGAAAAGGUAGUGUAAGAGACUACCAGUCUUUGCAGUAAUGCAUAGAGCUUGUAAACCCAACAUGGCAGUAAGAAACAGAUGGUUAGCGUCUUACAUCGCUAUUGUUUCGCUAGAGCUAAAGUGUGAACUUUAGAGUAGAUUAAUUGUUAUCAAUACAGAACUCGGCUUAUGUUACACCU
rnacentral:RNase_P_RNA from 1 species